AAGUGUUUAAAAUUAUACACUUGUAUUUUGAUUGUUAAUUUUAGAGUUUCACCUGUAGUAUACCAUCUUGUAUUAUUAUCGAUCUAAACCCGUCAAUUCUACGAUUUUCAAGCUUGUAUUAAAAAUUGAAUCACAUCAUACACAUUAAAAAAUCUAAUAUGUUAUUAAUUAUUAUAGUAUAUAAGAUUAUAAAUUUUCAAAACAAUAUGUAUGACUCAGUACUCAGUAGAAAGUUUUCUUAAAUCUAUUUUUGACCCAUUAUAAUAUUUUUCAUGUAUUGAACAGUUUAUAUUCGUUUUUAAAAAUUCAAAUUAGGGCAUAUGCGAAAAAACUCUAAUUAUUUUUUAUAACGAUGAUAUUAUUUUUUCGCAAAAAUAGAAUCAUAUAAAGAUGAGAAGUGAACUAUAAUAAUUAAUAAAAAUUAAUAUGAUAAUUUAGAUAUCAAAUCUAAUUUGUUGAUUUUAAUUGGUUACUUUUUUGGAAAUUAAUAAUGCAUUUCGUUUUUUAAUUAAAUUUAAUUAAUUAAAU
rnacentral:sRNA from 1 species